rnacentral:rRNA from 1 species
CCUACGGGUGUCAGCAGUGGGGAAUAUUGGACAAUGGGGGGAACCCUGAUCCAGCGACGCCGCGUGAGUGAAGAAGUCUUUCGGUAUGUAAAGCUCUAUCAGCAGGGAAGAAAGAAAUGACGGUACCUGACUAAGAAGCCCCGGCUAACUACGUGCCAGCAGCCGCGGUAAUCCGUGGGGGGCAAGCGUUCUCCGGAUUUACUGGUUGUAAAGGGAGCGUAGGCGGUUAGGAAAGUCUGGAGUGAAAGGCGGGGGCCCAACCCCCGGACUGCUUUGGAAACGGUAUAACUGGAGUGCAGUAGAGGUAAGUGGAAUUCCUGGUGUGGCGGGGAAAGGCGUAGAUAUAGGAGGAACACCAGUGGCGAAGGCGGCUUACUGGACUGUAACUGACGUUGAGGCUCGAAAGCGUGGGGAGCAAACAGGAUUAGAUACCCCUGUAGUC